UGCUAGCUUAAUUGCGCCCGUUUUAGAGGGGAGAAAAUGGGCUCAGAGAAAGGCAGGUGACACACCAAUACGGAAGCAGGGCUGGAAACGCCUUACCAGAGCCUGGCAUCUCUUCUUUAAAGGAGCUCAGCAGGAAGGCAAACCCAGGCCAGGAGACAGGAUAUGCGGCAAGAUAUGCUUGUUCCUGCAGCAAGAUAUGCUUGUUCCUGGGAGCCAUGUGAGAGAAGAGAAAAUAAGCAGGCUUGGUGAGGAUGUGGAGAAGCUGAAGCCCUUCCAACAAGGCUGGUGGGAAUGUGAAACUGCAGCCACUGUGACAAAGAACCUGGCCAGCUCUCAGGAAGCUAAACAUAGAAUUACCAUAAUCCCAGCAAUUCCACCCCUAGGUAUGUAUUAAGGAAAAGAAAACCACCACACAAAACCUUCCCCAUGACAGAGAGGAUCAGUUGCCGUUUGGAGAGUGUGCAGAUGACUCAGAUGUUGAUCGCGUGAUGAGUGAGCAAACUGGCACAUCUACGCAAUGGAAUAUUAUUCAGCCCUGAAGAGGAGUGGGGAGGUGACUCAUUGGACUGUGCUCUGACUAUGACAUGAUGCUCUGUGAAAGCAGCAAGUCUCCUGUGGUGAUGGUUCCAUUUGUGUGGCUGAUCCCGAAAGGCAAACCCUGAGAGACAGGAAAUGGAUUUUGGUUGCUAGGACAAUGGAGACAGGGCUCCAAUAUGGGGACUGGUUGAUAAUAAAUGAAGCUUCUUUGGAGAAUGGUAGUGCUCUGGGGCCAGGCUGCAGUGACAUCUCUCACACAGUGAAUGCAUGAGAUGCUGCUGGGCUGGGCUUUUCAGACUGCGACUUUCAAGUCUCGGGGUUGCAUCCCCAUCCUGCAUGGAGGAAGGGCUCAAGGCAACUCUUACAAAAGAAAGCAUUUAAUUGAGAGCUUGCUUACAGUUUUAGAGUUGAUCCAUGGUCACCACGGCUGGAAACAGACAGGUAUGGUGCUGGAGAGCACCAUGAGAGCUUUAUAUCCAGAUUCACAACCUCAAAGCCCACCCCCAGAGACACACCUCCUCCAACAAGGCCACACCUACUCCACCUAGACCACACCUUCUCCAACUAGGCCACACCUUCUCCAACAAGGCCACACCCCCUAAUUCUUCCCAACAGUACUACUUCCUGGUGACCUAACAUUCAAAUAUAUGAUAUGAGUCUAUGAGGGCCAUUUUCCUUUACAUAGCCACAGAAGGUGAGAAUAGAAGUAUACUUGUAAUCCCGGCACUCUGGAAGCUGAGGCAGGAGGAUUGUUAUGAGUUUGAGGCCAGCUUGGGCUACAUAGUGAGAGCUAAUCUAAUGAGGGCAACAUAGCAAAAUUCUGCUUCAAAAACAUAGUCAAAUCACCAAUAAGUAGGACAAAGUAGAACAUAGGGUCGGUCAGGGGUGUGUCUCAGUGGCUCAGUGUGCUUAUCAUGAUCAAAGCCCUUGGGAAUUCCCCAGCCUUCUGAAUAAACUGAAUGAGUAAAAAUACAUUUAAACCUGCUACUAUUAUUCUGCUAAAGGAACAUGGCAAUAAGACGACUGCUCGAGACACACUGCUGUAUUCAUAGUCAGCGCCUCCCUCAGGACUCUGUAUGGAAGAGGAGGCAGAGAGAUUGUGAGGACCAGGGGACAUGGAGGGCACCAAAAACCAGGGUCUUCCAGACUCAAGGGGUCUGAUCGACACACGUAUCAAAGAGACUGUGACAGUACAAGACCCCCACAGGUUCAAACCAGACAAAACUCCCCAGCACUGACGAGGGACGUAGGCACAACCCCUACCCAUCACAAAGGAGCUACCUGCAACUGAUGCCAGCUGGCAAAGGGGAAAACCAGCUUUUCCAAUGGAGUCUCAUGGGAACAUUUACCACACUCCAGGUCAGGUCCCGUGCUCAGGAGCAGUUGGCUGACAUGAAGGAUUCCAUGGGGUUUGUUCUUGUUUAUUGUUUUGGAAUUUUGGGGCUUAUCUUUUGUUUGUUUUGAUUUUAUUCUAUUUUUAUUUUUGUUAGACACACACACAUAGAAAGACAGAAAGAGAGAGAGAGAGACAGAGACAGACAGAGACAGAGACAGAGGGG
rnacentral:lncRNA from 1 species